CUGCAAAUUAUUGAAGUCAUGAAGAGUUUAUAUUGGAUGAAAAGUUCAGAUAUUUGACCAUAUUUCUUUUUUCUGAGACCUGCAUAGAAUGUUAUUGGUUUCUUAAUAAUGCGCAUGAAAAGUACAGUUCAUCGACUUGGCUGCUUAAUGUUCUCAAUGUUUGGAGUAGGAGCACGGUCAAAGUCAACCUUCUGUGGUACAAGUGGAUUUUGGUCGUUAAAUGCAUAUCGCACAGGG